GUCAACACAGAAUCGGAGAUGAUUCAACAAUCAACUGCUCAAGACUUUGUAGGUUUCUUAAUCUGUUUCUUGCUGUUUAUUGCUGUGACUGUCGAACGUUUUUUUGGAAAAUGCAAAAGCCAGUUCCAGAAUGUGAUUGACCAAGUGCAGAGGGAAAGAGAGCAAUCCCGCAAUGACUAUG